rnacentral:rRNA from 1 species
CCGCCCGUCACACCAUGAAAGUUAGAUAUGCCCGAAGCCGGUGCGCUAACCGCAAGGAAGCAGCCGCCGAAGGCAGAGCUGACGAUUGGGGUG